UACGGGAGGCAGCAGUGGGGAAUUUUCCGCAAUGGGCGCAAGCCUGACGGAGCAACGCCGCGUGAGGGAUGAAGGCCUCUGGGCUGUAAACCUCUUUUCUCAAGGAAGAAGAUCUGACGGUACUUGAGGAAUAAGCCACGGCUAAUUCCGUGCCAGCAGCCGCGGUAAUACGGGAGUGGCAAGCGUUAUCCGGAAUUAUUGGGCGUAAAGCGUCCGCAGGCGGCCUUGUAAGUCUGUCGUUAAAGCGUGGAGCUUAACUCCAUUUCAGCGAUGGAAACUACAAGGCUUGAGUGUGGUAGGGGCAGAGGGAAUUCCCGGUGUAGCGGUGAAAUGCGUAGAUAUCGGGAAGAACACCAGUGGCGAAGGCGCUCUGCUGGGCCAUAACUGACGCUCAUGGACGAAAGCCAGGGGAGCGAAAGGGAUUAGAUACCCCUGUAGUCCUGGCCGUAAACGAUGAACACUAGGCGUCGGGGGAAUCGACCCCCUCGGUGUCGUAGCCAACGCGUUAAGUGUUCCGCCUGGGGAGUACGCACGCAAGUGUGAAACUCAAAGGAAUUGACGGGGA
rnacentral:rRNA from 1 species